rnacentral:rRNA from 1 species
UAUUAUGUAUAUGCCUACAAUGUUAAUGCAACAUAUCCCAUUAGAAAUCCACCGUUAAGCACUCUUGGGAUAAAUUAGUACUGGGAUGAGUGACCUCUUUGGAAGUCCUAGUGUUUUUCAUGC